GCUGACGGUGAAUGUAACAGUGUGCCGUGCCGUGCCCUCUCUCUCUCUCUCCCUCACACAGAACUAACCGACAAACUGAAAGAGGUUCAGGAUGAGCACAGACAAGUCAUGGAGGAGUUGCGCAACGCUAACUCUAACUCAGCAGAUCUACAGCGUCAGUUGACGGCCAGCCAGGUGAAAGCCGAGGAGCUGGCGGCAGACAAAGGCAAACUG